rnacentral:rRNA from 1 species
UACAGAGGGGGCAAGCGUUGUUCGGAAUUACUGGGCGUAAAGGGCGCGUAGGCGGCCCGCUAAGUCGAACGUGAAAUCUCCGAGCUUAACUCGGAACGGUCAGCUGAUACUGAUGUGCUAGAGUGCAGAAGGGGCAAUCGGAAUUCUUGGUGUAGCGGUGAAAUGCGUAGAUAUCAAGAGGAACACCUGAGGUGAAGACGGGUUGCUGGGCUGACACUGACGCUGAGGCGCGAAAGCCAGGGGAGCAAACGGG